GAAAGAUUCACUCAUCUACUAUACAAAAUGUUUAACAUAAAGAUAUUUUUAUUGGCAGUUUUGGUAAUGGCUUUGUUUGCUGCCGAAACUCAUGCAUGCGCUGGACUUGGCGAAGCAUGUACAACUGACAGCGAUUGUUGCAGUGGUAAUACAUGUAAAGAUUUCUUAUUCAAAUGUACAAUUUAAGUUAUCUUAAAUUAACUUUGAAUUCCAUUUCAACCCAGUUUAUAAAUAUAUUUGUUUUAAAUUUAUAACAAAAUAAUUACGACUAUUUUUUGUAUGAGGUCUGGUUUUAUUGUAAACAUAUGUAAAUUAUGUCCAACGAAAUUUAAAAGUACCCGUGAAAAAUGAAUCAUACAUGGCCGUAUAUGGCUCAUACGUGGAGCAUAUAUGGCCAUGCAUGACUGUAUUAAAAAAGUUGGUAUGUCCAUGUAUGGUCAUAUAUGCUCCAUAUAUGGCAAUGUAUGACCAUAUAUGCUUCAUAUAUGAGCCAUAUACGGUCUUGCAUGGCCAUGAAUGAUUCAUUUUUUACCAGAAUGCCCGCCUCGAACGCUCGUCCUGUGAUAAAUGAACCAUACUUGACCAUGCAUAGGCGUAUAUGGUUCAUAUAUGGUCAUACGUGGGCAGACAUACUUUUUCAAUAGUCAUGCAUGGCCAUAUACAGUCAUAUAAAACCAUGCAUGGCCAUACAUUUAAACUUUCUGUUGUAACUGUCUAAUUUUGUUUUAUUCUGACUUUAAUGUAACUUUUUUUGUUUUAAAUUUGAAUAAACUAUAUUUCAAUUGAAUCAA